GACGAACGCUGGCGGCGUGCCUAAUACAUGCAAGUAGAACGCUGAAGGAGGAGCUUGCUCUUCUGGAUGAGUUGCGAACGGGUGAGUAACGCGUAGGUAACCUGCCUGGUAGCGGGGGAUAACUAUUGGAAACGAUAGCUAAUACCGCAUAACAGUAGAUGUUGCAUGACAUUUACUUAAAAGGUGCAAUUGCAUCACUACCAGAUGGACCUGCGUUGUAUUAGCUAGUUGGUGGGGUAACGGCUCACCAAGGCGACGAUACAUAGCCGACCUGAGAGGGUGAUCGGCCACACUGGGACUGAGACACGGCCCAGACUCCUACGGGAGGCAGCAGUAGGGAAUCUUCGGCAAUGGACGGAAGGCUGACCGAGCAACGCCGCGGGAGUGAAGAAGGUUUUCGGAUCGUAAAGCUCUGUUGUAAGAGAAGAAAGAGUGUGAGAGUGGAAAGUUCACACUGUGACGGUAUCUUACCAGAAAGGGACGGCUAACUACGUG
rnacentral:rRNA from 1 species